GNGAGGAUAUUGGUCAAUGGGCGCUAGCCUGACCAGCCAUGCCGCGUGCAGGAAGACGGCCCUACGGGUUGUAAACUGCUUUUCUGCGGGAAGAAUUUCCUGUAUUCGUUACAGGGUUGCCGGUACCGCAGGAAUAAGCAUCGGCUAACUCCGUGCCAGCAGCCGCGGUAAUACGGAGGAUGCAAGCGUUAUCCGGAUUCAUUGGGUUUAAAGGGUGCGCAGGCGGUGGAGCAAGUCAGUGGUGAAGGCCCGAAGCUCAACUUCGGGAUUGCCAUUGGAACUGUUUCACUUGAGUGUAGUCGAGGACGGCGGAAUGAGUUGUGUGGCGGUGAAAUGCAUAGAUAUAACUCAGAACACCGAUUGCGAAGGCAGCUGUCUAGACUAUAACUGACGCUGAGGCACGAAAGCGUGGGGAGCGAACAGGAUUAGAUACCCUGGUGGUCCACGCUGUAAACGAUGAUCACUCGUUGUUGGCUACAUGGUAGUCAGUGACUAAGGGAAACCGUUAAGUGAUCCACCUGGGGAGUACGUNGGCAACGAUGAAACUCAAAGGAAUUGACGGNGGCCCGCACAAGCGGAGGAACAUGUGGNUUAAUUCNAUGAUACNCGAGGAACCUUACCUGGGCUUAAAUGCANGCUG
rnacentral:rRNA from 1 species